GUGCCCAGUGCCACCACUCACUCACUGGUGUCACAAUAGCUUGCAUUUAAAAACAAAAAACUUUUUUCACUGUUAUAGAUUGAAUAGCAGUCAGUGUCCUUAAAGCGGGUGUGUCAGGCUCACAGUGGAUACUGUGCCCAGUGCCACCACUCACUCACUGGUGUCACAAUAGCUUGCAUUUAAAAACAAAAAACUUUUUUCACUGUUAUAGAUUGAAUAGCAGUUAGUUGUCUCAAAGCAGGUGUGUCAGGCUCACAGUGGAUACUGUGCCCAGUGCCACCACUCACUCACUGGUGUCACAAUAGCUUGCAUUUAAAAAAUAAAAAACUUUUUUCACUGUUAUAGAUUGAAUAGCAGUUAGUUGUCUGCCAGCGUCAGUGUCAGGCUCACAGUGGAUACUGUGCCCAGUGCCACCACUCACUCACUGGUGUCACAAUAGCUUGCAUUUAAAAACCAAAAAACUUUUUUCACUGUUAUAGAUUGAAUAGCAGUUAGUUGUCUCAAAGCGGGUGUGUCAG